AGAUCCCAGAAAUGUUUGUCCCUUGUCAACAAAGUUUACUGGCCAUCAUCAACUAUGUGGUGAGACUUAUCAACCAGGCUGGCAGACAGUCAGAUGCCGAAACUGCUAUUCUGGGGGCUCAAAACUGCUUACUCUUCCUGUGGACCAGGUCACUUGAAGACGCUCAGUGUGGUGUUAUCCUGUUUCCUAAUGCAAGGCGGCAGCGAGCCCUAGAUUCCAAGCAGCCAUAUGACCUCAAGGGAGAACAGUCAACCUCAGCAAUAUCACUCGGGGAGGCAAAGCAGUCCAUCGGUCACAAAUGGCAUGGUUUUCCUUGCCUGACCACGAAGAAUUGGAUGCCCAUGGUCAGGUACAAAUGAAGCAAGUGUUUACUGAAGACCCCAAGGGAAAUGACAACCACAGAGCAUCUUCCCAAGACUGAAGCUACCCAUCACCUACACAGAUGCCUCGUUUCAUGAAGAAGACUCUGACACAAAGGCCACAGCCACUGAUCCUAUCCCCCCAAGGAACAGCAGAGUACCUAGAAGCACUGAAUGGAAUAGUACCCAAGCCACACGCAGUUCUUACAACCAAGCUUUCAUCGUUCUCCCCGACCUUUACCCUGGAACACAAUGUGCUAUAUAGAAGCAGCAAAUUAUAAAAAUGUGUUUGGCAGCCCAGAUGUACCAGCGCUGGAUCAGAUCUCAAGGCUGCUCCAUUUCCAGUCUGGGGCUCCAUUCCUGAGCAAACGUCCUGUAAAGAAAUCUACAAAUGUUUUUGUGACUGGUGUCCUUGAGCAAGUGUUCUCAAUGCCUCUCCAGAGCCAUAUGGAGCUUGGGCAUGCUCGCAAUAAAUCAUUCCUUUGGGUCUCUAUCAUUA
rnacentral:lncRNA from 1 species